AGUGAACGCUGGCGGUAGGCCUAACACAUGCAAGUCGAACGGCAGCACAGUAAGAGCUUGCUCUGACGGGUGGCGAGUGGCGGACGGGUGAGGAAUACAUCGGAAUCUACUUUUUCGUGGGGGAUAACGUAGGGAAACUUACGCUAAUACCGCAUACGACCUACGGGUGAAAGCAGGGGAUCUUCGGACCUUGCGCGAUUGAAUGAGCCGAUGUCGGUUUAGCUAGUUGGCGGGGUAAAGGCCCACCAAGGCGACGAUCCGUAGCUGGUCUGAGAGGAUGAUCAGCCACACUGGAACUGGGACACGGUCCAGACUCCUCCGGGAGGCACCAGUGGGGAAUAUUGGACAAUGGGCGCAAGCCUGAUCCAGCCAUACCGCGUGGGUGAAGAAGGCCUUCGGGUUUUAAAGCCCUUUUGUUGGGAAAGAAAAGCAGCAGGUUAAUACCCCGCUGUUCUGACGGUACCCAAAGAAUAAGCACCGGCUAACUUCGUG
rnacentral:rRNA from 1 species